rnacentral:lncRNA from 1 species
GCCGCCUGCCGCGGGGGGAGCCGGCCCCGCGGAGCGCCGCUCCGUGCCUGGGCUCACCCGGGGGGCCGCGGGUCUCUCGGGGUCCGGCAGGCUCCGCACGAGAGCUCGGCGUUUUUGGGGGGGGGGGUGUCACCACGGUGCCGCGCCGCCCGCCUGGGCUGCGCGCGCGGCUCUUGGUCGUGCGGCGCUUGGCGUUGUUCGGCUCACGCACGUGUCCGUCUUUAUUAGUCCUCUGUCGCAGGCACCUCGCUUGGUGAGAUCUGCCGUCGUGAUCUUUGUAUCUGAUCGUUGCAUCUGCCUCGAAGAAAUCCCGGCGGCCGUUUCAGCGCGUCGGCACCCCUUCCCUCAGGGGCUGCGCGGGGCAGGUCUCUGUCCGCGCCCUUUCCCAGCCCCAUGGAUUCCUUUGCUCCCGGCUCCAGGACUGGUUGAUGAGGGAUGCUGGACACAGUGACGGAUUACGGUAUUUCUUUUCACUGCCUUAACAGUCCUGUAUACAGUCUCUGGCAAUAGCCACAUUCUCCUCAGCAGGCCGCUCCAUAUUCAGCCAUCAGGCUUGUGUAGUCGAGCAGAUUCAUCAAGCUGGCGGUGUAAUGAUCGAGCUUGUCCCACUCCCACAGUGUCAGAACACCUCAUGGUUGGCUCGGUGAAUCCAUCUUUGCAGCACUCCUAAGAAAUGGUUGUGAAGUCCUGGGGACCCUGAGGAGAGUUCACCAGCUGGAAAAUCUUUUGGACCGAGUUCCUUUAGCAUCGGAGGUGAACAGCUAAUCCAGGUGCCAGAAUACAG